GACGGAGGGGGCUAGCGUUGUUCGGAAUUACUGGGCGUAAAGAGCGCGUAGGCGGUUUAGUAAGUUGGAAGUGAAAGCCCGAGGCUUAACCUCGGAAUUGCUUUCAAAACUGCUAAGCUAGAGUGUAGUAGGGGAUGAUGGAAUUCCUAGUGUAGAGGUGAAAUUCUUAGAUAUUAGGAGGAACACCGGUGGCGAAGGCGGUCAUCUGGGCUACAACUGACGCUGAGGCGCGAAAGCGUGGGGAGCAAACAGG
rnacentral:rRNA from 1 species